UUCUUUCGUUUGAAAUUUGAAAACAAUGAUUUAAAAAACAAGAAACCCAUAUUAAAAGACUUCACAAGAAAUACGAAUAUCAAAUUCAUGGAUAAUAUUUCCAAAUGAGACAUUUUGGACUGUUCUGUGAUCCAAAACAGAAAAUCCGGCCGGAACUUCUUACGUCUUGCCACAGUUAACUCCCCUGACUCGAUGAUGGCUCUCUUUGCUUUCCAUAACUGUUCAGUCUUAUUUUCGAGACAUUUUGUCACUUGUAGACCAGACAGAGUCGUUGUCGGCGGCCUAUCCACCCCCAUGUCGGAGUUGUGAGCUAGAGAGAAAGUACAGCCGGGAACAGAAAGUGUCAAAACCAAAGGCCUGCUCUCCACCCUGAGCAUUUACAGUCGACUGGGGGGACGGCUUGCUGUAAGUACACAGAUACAUUCAUCCGAAAGGAUGGCAACAGUGUGAUGUCCAACUCGGCGGGAGAUAUGAAACACCAAAGAAGGCCAUGAUUCACGGCUGAUCAUUGAAGGCGAACAACUAACAUGGUGGCUAUUCAGUGUUGUCUGUGUAUUAACACAGAGGGGAUGGGGAGCCAGGCGUGCCCUCUGGUGAUCACAUCCUUCUAGUCCCUUACUGGUUCAUGAUGACACCUUGGCUUGCGGGGUAAAGUCUUUCUGGCCACAGCGCAACACUUCAGUUGCGCCCAAGUUUUAUUUAUAUCCCAACAGCAACAAUAACAACACAAAACAAUACAAAAACAACAGUUACAACAACAACAACAACAAUAAUAAUAAUUGAAUAAUAAUAAUAGCAAUAAUAAUUAUGAUGGCAGUGGUUGGGGAUUUGUUAUUUAAUUAAUAUAUUCUCCUAUUUUCUUACUACCUCUUUGUUUAGGUAACGAGCUAAUGAGCUUGAUAUUGCAGUAUUAGCUAUUAGCAUGUUUAAUUGUGAGAAGUGGCUCCGUUUAAUUAACAAAUAAAUUGCUCUAUCGUGCUGACAUCAUCAAUAUCAGCUGUAUUAUAGCUAUACAUACAACUUAUAUGUAUAUAUAUAGAUAGAUAGAUAUAUAUAUAUAGAGAGAGAGCAAGAGAGUGUAACAUACAGAUUUUCUAUAACGAACCAUCCAUCCAAAUUGUAAAAAGUAAUUAAUUAUGAUGCUAACGAUAUCCAUUGAUAUUGAAUAUAAUUGCAGUAACGUAAACUAAAUUGACUAAACUGCAGUGGUGAUAACCAUUCUAUUUACUUUGUAAUUAGUCCGUAAUGGUCUCUGAAAGCACCAUCAAUUUUAGUCUCUUUUGAACGGUCACACUAGCUGUGAUAUCACUAUCAGCAAACACCGAAACAGUUAUUGUUCCAUUUGAUAACAAUUUUAGAUAUAGUCUGCCCUGUGUCUCGAUGUCCAUCCACAGCACUGAUUGAAGUGAUAUCAGCUUCUGUUAAACAAUAUCUUUGAGACAAUAACACCAGGUCCGUCAUAUAAACCUCUACAAACAAUGAUACUCCCAUGGUAAUAAUGUUAUUUUAACAAACAUCAAUACUAUUACAUACAACAUCUAACACUGCAUCAUCAUCAUCAUCAUUAUUAUUAUUUAAGGAAUUAUUAUUAUUAUUUAAGAACUUAUUAUUAUCUAAUAUUGUAGGCCAGUUAAUUGAUGAUAUUGUUAUCAUUAUCAUUAUUAUUUAACUUGUCAUUGCGUGAGAACACACGAUGACAAACCGAUUUUGCCGGGCUCAAUAAAAACAAAAAAAA